UACGAAGGGGGCUAGCGUUGCUCGGAAUUACUGGGCGUAAAGCGCACGUAGGCGGCUUUCUAAGUCGGGGGUGAAAUCCUGGAGCUCAACUCCAGAACUGCCUCGAUACUGGAAAGCUCGAGUCCGGGAGAGGUGAGUGGAACUGCGAGUGUAGAGGUGAAAUUCGUAGAUAUUCGCAAGAACACCAGUGGCGAAGGCGGCUCACUGGCCCGAUACUGACGCUGAGGCAACGAAAGCGUGGGGAGCAAACAGG
rnacentral:rRNA from 1 species